CGCCCCGCAAGGGGAGUGGCGCACGGGUGAGUAACACGUGGGAACCUACCUUCUGGUACGGAACAACCAAGGGAAACUUUGGCUAAUACCGUAUACGACCUCCGGGUGAAAGAUUUAUCGCCGGAAGAGGGGCCCGCGUCCGAUUAGGUAGUUGGUGGGGUAACGGCCUACCAAGCCGACGAUCGGUAGCUGGUCUGAGAGGAUGACCAGCCACACUGGGACUGAGACACGGCCCAGACUCCUACGGGAGGCAGCAGUGGGGAAUAUUGGACAAUGGGCGCAAGCCUGAUCCAGCCAUGCCGCGUGAGUGAUGAAGGCCUUCGGGUUGUAAAGCUCUUUCACCCACGACGAUGAUGACGGUAGUGGGAGAAGAAGCCCCGGCUAACUUCGUGCCAGCAGCCGCGGUAAUACGAAGGGGGCAAGCGUUGUUCGGAAUGACUGGGCGUAAAGGGCGCGUAGGCGGUUCGUUGCGUCAGAUGUGAAAGCCCCGGGCUCAACCUGGGAACUGCAUUUGAUACGGGCGGGCUUGAAUCCAAGAGAGGGUGGUGGAAUUCCCAGUGUAGAGGUGAAAUUCGUAGAUAUUGGGAAGAACACCAGUGGCGAAGGCGGCCACCUGGCUUGGUAUUGACGC
rnacentral:rRNA from 1 species